GACGGGUAUCCGGCCUGAGAGGGUGAUCGGACACACUGGAACUGAGACACGGUCCAGACUCCUACGGGAGGCAGCAGUAGGGAAUAUUGCUCAAUGGGCGAAAGCCUGAAGCAGCAACGCCGCGUGGAGGAUGAAGGUUUUAGGAUUGUAAACUCCUUUUCUAAGAGAAGAUUAUGACGGUAUCUUAGGAAUAAGCACCGGCUAACUCCGUGCCAGCAGCCGCGGUAAUACGGAGGGUGCAAGCGUUACUCGGAAUCACUGGGCGUAAAGAGCGCGUAGGCGGGGUAGCAAGUCAGAUGUGAAAUCCUAUGGCUUAACUAUAGAACUGCAUUUAAAACUGUUACUCUA
rnacentral:rRNA from 1 species